CUUAGAAUGCUAAACUCAAAAGGGGUACAAGCUGCAUUUUGCUCACCUUCUCAAAACUGUUUUAUUUUCGUUUAAUUAUCAAAUUCCAAUUCUGCCUUCAGAUAAGACACACUCUAACCACCUACUUCACAGCCAGGCAGCUUUAUCUGCAGAUUGCACCGUUACUGUCCAAAAUCCUCCAGAGCAAAGAGAGAUGCUUCAGCCCUUUGAUCAUCCUUGAUGCCCUCCUCUGGAUCCGCUCCAAAAGCUCCACCUCCCUCUUGUACUGACAUCACCAAGCCUGGAUGCAGCACUCCAGAUGAAACCUCACAAUGUCAGAGUAGAGGGGGACAAUCACCUCCCUCUCCUCGCUGGCCUCUCACAACUUCUGAUAAGUAGUUGUAUUUAUAUUUGCAUGUGCUACAUCUGAGAAGUCUUAAACUGUGGAUAAUAACUUUAGAUUGAAUGUUUCAUACAUAAAUAACCGUGUAACUUUUUCAUUUGAGCUGUAGGUUAGAUGUAGUAACAAAUCUGUCUAAUAGCACUGUAACUUCAUUUGUAAGAUUAGAGACCUGUUUAAUAUUUCUGGCAAUUCAUAUUUUGAGAAUAAAAAUGUGCAUAUUUUUUAGUUUUCCUAUUAUAAAAAUGCUAUGUUCUUUCUUUAAGUAUAUAUAAACAAAUUGAUAUGUUAUAGAUUUGUAAAAUUAUAUUAUUUAUAAUGUUAGAAAUUCAUUUUUCUCUUACAAAUGCAUGAAUCAAUUCUAAUUUGUAAUUCACAUUCAGUGGAACAUUUACAAGUGGAAUAGAAAAAAAGGAAGUUAACUGCAUAAAAAUGUGCUGCUAGCAACCCAUCAUAUUCAAAACUUUUAAAAUGGUAAUAAUUUCUCAUAAAGUAGUUAGGCUUAGCAUCUGUUCAGUUAAUUGACAGUAAUCAUUCUCACAGAACAGGCCAUGAUAUCCUCUAAUUCACAGAUCACCUUUACAGUGAAAUAGCCAAACAGCAAUGUAUGACCUAUUUUAAAAGUCUUCUUUCCUCAUAGGACAGAACAAACAUUGAGUAAGCACAAUAGCAGUAACCUACUUAGAGGCAUUUUCUACUCUUUAGAAUCUUCUGCAUUUCAGCAGAAAUACCAAGAGUUAGUAACUUGGGAAACAUUUCUCCAGGAAAAGGUGUACAUCAUGUGCUAGGUUUUCUUAUGUUUUUUCAUUUUGUAAAUUUGUUGCAUUUGCUCUGUGACACCGUCAAUGUAAUCAUGGAGAUUUGCAGCACAGGUUUUGUGCUUUCCCCCCCCCCCCCAUCUGGAGAGCAGAAGGCUGAGAAAAUAUAUAUUAAACAUGUAGAAUGUGAAUAGGAUGAAAAAUGUCUUUGAACUUGAAAACAAUCUUCCUUAGCCUUAAAUUAAAGUCAUUGCUUGAAUAAUUAAAACUUAAUGUUUGUUAGCUAGGCCAACAAAGAAAUAAAUACAUAUAUUCAAAAUAUAUGUAUGCACACAGAGUAAGAUAAAAGUAAGUGAUGAAAAGAUAAAGCUAUCCAGUCUGCUGACAUUUUUUAGUGUGUGGUAUUUCAGACUUUUUUAGGAUUGCAUUUAUUGGCCAGGUGUACCAUUUAUAUAUCUGUCAGCAGUGUACAAUGACAGUAUCCAGAGCACAUAACUGAAAUAAAGUGGAAUAAGAUUUAUGUUCUGUUUCAAAAGUGGCCACUAUGGCUUUUAACAGAAUGAACUACUCCUGUGGUAGAAAGCAUUAUCUUGAAGGUAGAAGUCACUUUCCCAUCAGCAUUUGAAGGAGCGCUAAUGAUGCAGGAGAUCACUGUAAAAGAUGAGUAUACAGAUGUAAGUUAUAGGCUUUAGGAAAAUGAGAUUUGAUCAGUCAAGCAUUUCAGGUGAAGAUCAUGAGAGCAGUUAAUGAACUUGAAAAAAGGUGUUAUGUCUCCUGAGAUAGUCUCUUAGUGACUGGGAGGUAAUGGUACAUAUUUGCAGAAGCAAUUUGGGUGAGACGAGCUAAAAGAAAAAUCAAAAGCAAGUAAUUAUCAGAAAUGUCGUACAUAUUGCUUUAUUAUAAAUGCAAAAAUCUAUUACCUACGUAAUAAUAAAAAGGUUGUUUUCUAGACUAAAAAUACUACAUAAAUCGCCUUUUUUCAUCCAAGAAAACAAUCGUCUCAUAAGAGGUUAAUUAUUUCUGCUAAUAUAACACUGAUUUCAAAGCAGAAAUUUCAGGAGCAAUACUGAGUUCUCAGCAAUGCAACCUCAUUAUGAAAACUUCUGUAACAGUAAAAAAAAAGUUAAAGAGAUUAAGAUUUAAAACUGCUUAUCAGAAUCCUGCCUCUCAAAUUCUUCUUUUUAAAAACAAAUCAGAACCAUAAUUUACAUUAUGCCAGUUGCUCAACUGAACUAUAUCAUGUGAUACCCAACACUUUAGUCAAUUUAAAGCAUUAUUUGUGUUGAGCAGGACAUAGUAUAACUGUGAGAUCACUGGACAAAAAAAUAAAAUAAAAUUUACUGGACAAGAAAUCCUAGGGAUUUAAGACAAGAAAAACAGAAAGUUUUCAAAAACAUUACCACAGGUGAUAGUUAGCUGAUUCACCAUUGUUUCAGUUUUGUAUUAGUGUAUAGAGCCUUUCAUAUCAAUUAUCCUUUAUGUACAAAUUUUGUAUUACAUACUCAGAAAGAAUAAAGCUAUUGCAUUUACAUAAAAAGAGUUUAUAAUUGUCCUGUUUCAUAUAAAAUGUCAGCCAGCCACAAAUAUUGUGAUCUGACAGAAUUGGAUGCAGUGUCCAAAACUUAAAUCGAACUUGAUUUACAUAUUAUUACACUGCACCACUUCCAUAGAACUUUUGGAAAUAGGAUUUUUUAUCUGGAAUCAGAUUUGCUUUUUAAUAACACAUUUCAAUGUCACUAGUUAGACAAGAACCAUGCUUUGCAAGUAGGGAAGAUCUUCAUUAAGAAAUCACCUGAGAGUACUUCAACAUAUUUUCACAUUCCCUUGAUAAAUUAAGGUUAUUUCAGAUCUGAAAUAAAUCUGUUCAUUUGUUGGCUGUGUUUAUGGAGUUAAAUUGAAUAAAGUUCUUAAAAAAACAUUAUUGCUCUUCAGCUGUAAGCUUUCUUACUUCAAUGACUGUGCAGCUGAUGAAAGUAUAGAGACUAAUGGUGAAAACAGGAGCGCAAGAUCUGAGAGUUGUAAAGACAAACUGCUCUUUAGCCUUUCUGAAUAUAAAAGGAAAAAAAAGAAGUCACAUAGCAUGCAUAUAAUUUGUUGCAUUUGAUUCAGUCACCAGUCAUAACUUCAACAAACUAUAUUUAACAUGAGAAAUUGUAUGUCCAGUUCUGAUGGAUAAUCUAAGAGCUACAUAAUCAGAAUGUUAUAAAAUAAUUUGUUGAACAUCCAAAGAAGAAAAAAGGUUUGCAAGAAGAACCAAACCAGGUAAAAACCAACCUGCGGUAAUUUUCAUACAAUGCUGUAUCAAAAGUAAAAAAAUAAUCUUGAUUUCAGCAGUGACAGUUCAUAUUUGAAGGGGAAAGAUUUUCAGCAAUUUCAUUUACUUUGUCACCAAUUACUUACAAUAAUCAAAGAAUACGGAAAGGUUGACAUGUUGCUAAACAUAAGUAAUAGAUGGCAGCACUGCAGUCUUUUCAAUCUAUUGCUAAAAUGUCAAGCUUCAAAUCAGCAUAACUGCUGUAAAACAAAACACAGCACUUCACAGAGAAAACUUCAUGUCUUUGAAAUAGUGGCUUAGCUCUGAAACAAAAUUACAUUAGACAAAUGAAAGCUAAGCAGCUAUCUACCAUCACUACCUGCAUGGCUACCUUGGAGAAUUUAAUUGGCAAACUGUUGCAAAAGCAAAGCUAAAACUUGAAGAUGACUUCAAGAAUUUACUUGCCAAAGCAAUGAUGAGUUAAGGAUCAGGGCAGCUGUGUGCAAAUGCUAAAGAUAUUCCUUAAGUCUUAAAUAGAAAGGAAAAUGGCUAAGGCCAAACAGCAUAGCAACCAUCAAUCCUAAACAAGUCUUGCACAAAAGGAAUCUGAGAGAUUUGAUAUUUUUAAUUACGCUAUCAAUAACUUGGGAUGCUUGAUUUCCUGCUCAUUUAGUCAAACCCUCAUUUCUUUUCCUGUCAUGCUGAUCAGGAGGCUCCAAGAGCACUGGAUGUUUCGGCACAGUUAUAUCUUGUCUUGAAAAUACUAUUCUUCUAUUACUAAAUUUCUCACUUGUACAGGGUACUAGAAUAUCUGAUAAAAGCAUAGUUUGCUCUAAAAUGAGAAGCUUCAGCAUCUUCAAAACAUUACACAUUCUAUUCAUGUGUAUCUUCAUGAAUACAUAUAACUAGGAUUUCUUUUAUUUGCACUCUCAACAUGCAAAGCAUCUUCUUUUGCAUUUCUAAGAUGACCUCUGGUACCUACAGUCCAGUGACAAAGAAGAAGAAAUGAAAGGGAAAAAAAUCACAAAAAAGUUAAGAAACAGAAGCCUACAUCAUCAAACAAAUGGGUCUUUAAAGGGCCUGAAACACAAUUAGGGCAGGGGCUGUACGUGCAAGCUGUGUUAUGAAGUGCAGUACAUAAAAAGCCCUGCAAGGGAAGGUACUGGGUGAAUGUGAGAGGAGCUUACAAAUAGGCAGUCAGGGGUGGAAAUCCUAGAACUCAAGAUUGAAAUUCUUCAUACAUGGAUGAAAAAGAACUAUGCUUUGAAGAGAAAGUAAAUAAACUAAUAGUAUCUGAAAAAUGUUAGAUGUGUUUUUUAAAAAUGUGAGAAAAAAUUAUCUAGUUAAAUAAACCCUGGGAAGACUUAAGGAAAAUGUAAGCAUCUUUUUUCCUGCAUCAUUUACCUACUCUGUUUACAAUGAAAUUGGAAAGUCAGUGUUAUUAUUCCUUUUAAAAUAUAUAUUAUUUCCUAUACUUUCCUAUAUUCUCCUAAUUUCCUUGUUAGCUUGAAAACCACACCGUUUAAAAUAAAAUUUAAUUUUU